rnacentral:lncRNA from 1 species
GCAGCGAGGCGUCGGCGCAUCUCAGGGGACGUACAUGGCAGGUAAUAUAUAUAAUUAUUUAUGACGUCAUUAAUUUCUACAAAAGAAGUCAAUGUCUAUAAAAGAGAGAAAUAAGAUAAAUAUAACAAAAGGUCAGCUGAAACACCUACACAGCUGUAUUAUUAAAUCAUGACUAUAAUGUGUAGGUACAUGUACUAAUAUCACCUUAUUUGAUUGGAAGGCAUUGUGGGUAAUUAUAGUUCAUUAUUCGACCGGAAAUCUACAUCAACUAAUUCCUUUCUUUUGUCAACUGAUCAUAGUCUAGAUGGGGUUCGUAGAAUAAAUAAUACUGGACAAUAGGUGCAGAAUAAAAAAAGGGGGGGGUUAAAAUAAUAGUGAAAAUUAGAAAACAAAUAAGGAAUAGAGAAUUUGUUAUGGGGUGUUUGAAUAUAAAGAAUAGAGAAAAUUGUCUUUUAAGAUAGAGAAUACAGAAAUGAAGGUAUCCCAUCCAAACCCUCAUUGAUUUGUUACCAAAAGUCAAAUCAGUUAUUAAACUUGAGACAAUAUUAUCCUUAAAAAUAAUAAACAACAAGACAAUUUAAAUGUCACGUAUAAAAAGAAGCGGAGGAUAUUAACCAAAGACACAGUAGAAAACAAUGAAUCAAAUAACAGAAUACAAAUUUUGGUUAAAACUAAGAACGAAUGAAAGACAAAACAACACAGAAAACUUGAAAAUUUAUAACACAAAGCUGUCCUAAAACGGAGCUGAACUCAGGUACUCCUAAAUAGUACCAGUGUUUCUAUGACCCCUAGUAUACUCAGUACAAAAAGUAAAGGUAUUUUAUGCAAAUAGUGGCCUUAUUUUAACCUAGUUUUUCUUCUUUUUCAGGAAUCAAGACGAUAUUCACUUGAAAGAAAUCAGCGCUGUAAUGGCAUUGACCUCUCUCGCGAGAUCUCGUAGUAG